ensembl:lincRNA
AUGGGGGCCAGGCCUGGGUCUGGGUGGCCUGGCAGGCAGGCAGCCUCUGGCCCUUUGAGCUGCUGUCUCAGGGUGGCUCCAGCCCUGGCCAGAAAGAGGCUGCAAUGGGACUGCAGAAGGGGAGGCUGCCAGGGAGGAAAGGAGGCUGAGGCCACAGCGGGGUUCAGGCUCCCUGGGAGGACAGGGCACCCGGGGAGGCCUGAGGGGGUGAGAAAGGACCGCGGGCUCAUUGAUGUAUGGCGACAGGUCUGGGGUGAAACCAGUUCAUUACUGUGGGACGAGUUGCCAAAACCCUGGCCACCUCAGCUUCCUCCUCUAGGCAGCCGUCGAGGCCCAGCGCUGGUGGAGAGGAAGACCCCGGAGGCUCUGACAGGAAGGACCUGGACUGCACUACCACCCCGUGCCACAAGAACAUCACAGUUCCUGUCCCAACCCAGGUACCAAAGCCCUCCAAGCUAUCUGUGGGGUUCCGCACGGCAGAGUGGGGCGGCCUCCAGCCCAGCACUGGCUCUUUGUGCCACAGUCCCCAAAACCUUUCCCGGACACCCGUGUCAUCACUCUUUCCCCCCUGCAGCUAAGCUCAGUCCAGGGCUCCUAGGAGAGAACAGAAGCCGUGCUCACACCUCCCCAUCCCCUGCCAGCCUCCCCCCGCAGGACAGCUGUCCUGUGCCCCUCAGGCCGGAGCCGGCCUCCCCAAGGCCCAUUGAGGUUGCCUUAUUCUCCAGCCCGGCCCGACCUCUGCUGAGGAAGCCAGCACUGCCCUCCCCCUGGUGACUCCUGGCCACAUCUGAUGUCCAGAUGACCCAGAGGCCUGUGCCUGCCACCAUCUCCCCGGCCUGGCCACUCCUUUUCCUCUGUCCAUGCACGGUGCCAGUCUGACCCCCAGGACCACCGUUGGCAUUUUUGGCGCCAUUCGUAUUAUUACAGCUGUCUGGGCAGCGCAGAUACUUCUAAAAGUAUGUAGACCUACAAUGAUGUAUGUGAUUUAGGAAAGAUCCCUCUCCACACCUCUCCUAUGUGUGCACGUGUGUGUAUUCCACACAUGUGUGCAUGUGUAUGUGAGUGUGCCCCGGCCUGUGUACCCUAAUUAAACAAGCUAAGCUAUGUAAGCUGAUUCUAAGAUGCCUUUUAUUACAGCGUCUAUUUCCAAAAUGUCUUAAUAUAUAGCCAUUCGGAUGAAGACAUAGACCAUUUUCGGCCCAAUUAUCUUUUCUAAGUUUUUUAUUUUGAAAAUGAUUCAACUUAGAAAAUCCUUAGGAGGGAUUUAGCUCGGUGGUUCUGCUGCCUGCUUCGAAAGCACAAGGACCCAAGUCUGAUCCCCGGUACAAAAAAAAAAAAUCCUCCGGAAUAGCACAAUGGACUCCCCCAUCCACCUCACUCUCUUUCCCCACAAGCUUUUAGCAUGGGGCGAAUUAAUCAUCUUCUCUCAUAUCGCAGCUAUUAUUUCCCUGAAUUCCUGGAGAGGAAGUUCCUGACCCUGCCCGCUAUUCCUAAACAAUAAGAACUGUCUCCCACGUUAUCACGCGCAUGGCCAUGAAACUCCGGAAGUUAGCAUAGAUAAAAUGCUACUAUCGAACCCUUAGGCUCCAUUCCAAUUUCUCCUACAGUCUUAAUAGCAAUGAGCAACCAAUGAUUUCUACAGUUAUGUAAAAUAUGUAAGAUUUCAACCCCGGUGGUUCAUGGAG